CGGUGCUGCUCGGCUCGCUCGGAAGCCCCACAUGAUCGGAGGGCUGGCGGGGACGAGGCUGGACAGGGACGGGCCCAGAGACAGCGGGCGGCCUGUCCAGCCCUGCGUGGGCCCCAGGGCCUCAGCCCGAGACCCUGCGUCCCUUGGGGGAUAAACACGUCGAGACGGUGUUAAAGGCCUGGCAGCCAGUGAUUCCAGAGCAGCCGCUUUGCUCACGUGUUGUCUCUCCAGCGCCCGGAGGCCCGGACGUGCACGGCUCUGCUGAGCCACCGCAUCAUGAGCAGGCAUUGUUCUCACAGGUUUGCGAACCGAAUCCACGCCCUCAGUGCCUGCUGCAUCCUUCGCCCCAAGGCUCCUCCCUGGUAACCACCUGGCUGGCCUGGCCCUCGUCUGUGUCAUGCAGGGCUGGGCACACGCUGCCCAGCGGCUGGAUGUGCGGCCCUCAGACCGGAGCGGAGGCGUGUCUGGGAAACCCGGACCAGGUGCUCCCGGGUGACAGGUGGAGAUCUUCAUCCUUCAGCGUGGGAUUAACUUACGAACGUGUGCAGAUUUAUCAAGUCAUCAACUGUACCCUUUAUUUUUAUUUAUUUAUUUUUUUUGGUCUUUUUGCCAUUUCUUGGACUGCUCCCGCGGCAUAUGGAGGUUCCUAGGCUAGGGGUCGAAUCGGAGCUGCAGCUGCCAGCCUACGCCGGAGCCACAGCAAUGCGGGAUCAAAGCAGAGUCUGCAACCUACACCACAGCUCACGGCAAUGCGGAUCCUUAACCCACUGAGCAAGGGCAGGGACCGAACCCUCAGCCUCAUGGUUCCUAGUUGGAUUCGUUAACCACUGCGCCACGACGGGAACUCCCGAUUGUACCCUUUGAAUACCUAAUGAUUUUAUUUGUCACUGGUACCUCAGUGAAGCUGGAAAAAGAUAUUUUUUUGUGGUCAGGCUUCCAUCAGCUUCCCACAUGGGGGCCGAGGCUCCAGCUGCCCAGCAGGGAUCACGCGUCUUUUCUCGGGCAGCAGACAGAGGUACGAGGGGACCCCCACGUCUGCGUGUCCUUUCUCCGGGCGGAGGGCCGUGAGGACGAACACGGGAAGGUGAUUCGCAGCCUCAGCCUCUCACCUGGGAGGCUGGGCCGGUGGCAUCUGGGCCUUUCUGGGCAGGAGCAGGCAGACGGCGGCUGGGAGUUGGGAGUUAGAGCCGAGGGUCGCCCUUCACUCGCCUUAAAGAUGCUUGCGGAGCAGGACGGGUUGAUGCCGAAGGCCCAGCGCGUCUGCGCCGCAGGAGGAAGGUGGUUAGAAGAUGUUCUUUUUCUUCCCACUGAACGUGCCUCUGGCUGUGGGACACGUUCUCCCACAAGGGAGGGGACAGGCUCAGGGCUGCUCGGCCUCGGGGAUCCCGGGGCCACGAUGGGAUGGAUGGGGUGGAAGGAACACAGCGCUUGCGGGCGGGGGUCGCUGUGGGCCUGGGGCAUCACUCUCGUCGCACCUUGAAGCCCUGGAACCCAGACAGAGCCGUUCUGGAUUCUAGCUGCUCCCAGCUGCUUCAACGACGUGUGUGAAGCCCCGUCUUCCCGGCCGGACCGUUUGAGAAGAUGUGGCCAUGGUGGGGGUGCAGGACUUGGCCUUGCCCACGAGACGUUAGCGAGGACCGGUCAAGGCGACGAAGGCCCAGCUCCCUCCCCUCACGCACUGCCGGGGCCUUCACACCUAAGCCUCCCUCCAGAAGGAAACGCAGGGACCCUGGUCCCCCCCCCCCCCCCCCCCCCCCCCCCCCCCCCCNCCGCCCCCGCAGCAGAUCCCGGGUCCCUUCCUGCUUCUCGGGAGGGGAGUGCAGCCUGAGGACCUGCUGGGAAACGACCACCUGGAGACGGGCCCUGUCUCUGGAGCCUGUCACCGAACCUCGGGGGGCGAAGAGACGUGGCGGGGGACUGAGUGAGGACCUGAGAUGGAGACGAAAUCCUGGAGAUCAGGGGCCCUCGGUGCCCCGCGGCGCCCUUCGCUGGGAGGCAGAGGGACGAUGGACAGCACAGAAGGGGAUGGCGGCUGGAGCCGGACUCUGGGCUGCAGGAUGUGGAGACGGAGGCAGGGGCUCAGGCCAGAGCCCGAGAGGCUGAAACAGAAGAGGCGCUUCUGUGCAGCCCAGUGGAGCGCAGUGCUUCUGACCGCGGCCUCCCAGCCCCUGGACACGACAAGAAGAAAGGUGGCCUCAAGUCCCUGCGUCCGUGGGAAGGGGUGACAGCAGCGCAGGAAGCCCAGACGGGGCGUGGGGGUCAGCCGAGGGCCAAGGCGACUCUUCUCAGCCUCCCCUGAAGCUGCCCGACGUCCUGGGUCCGACCCAUGGGAGCCCCUGCGGGCAGGGCAGCCACCUCUGGAGAGUCUUCCUGGCGGAAGGGCCCGACCCCCGUCCUUCCUACCGGCGGGGCCCACGGGUCCCCUGGGAUGUGCAGCCAUCGGCACCAGGAGGUGAAUCUGGGGGUCAAGUCUAUGCACGGCGGUCAACAAGACGGGAGAAGCCUGGGACCAGACCCGGAGCUCCCCUGCCCCGGGCUGCCUGCCCCGUAUCUCACGUCUGGGAGCGUCCACUGUGUUCUGUUGACACAAGGGCCGGCGGGCCUGUCCCUCAGCCCACUCUGAUCACCACGAGACAAACAGGUCGCCGGCACGGCUCCUCGUCCGCCUUCUCCCCAGGGCCCUGGGCAGCGCCUGGGUUUCUUCCUCACGACAGCUUCAAGGACCAGCUUCACGACCUAAAUGCAAGGUCCCUCCCAGACCACCGGCCUCCCACUUUAGGGGAAAAUAGGAGAAGGAGUGAGCCUGCCCCCCUGUGAACUCGCUUCACCUCUAAAGUUUCCCCAGGCGUUGGGCUGCUUGGAAUCACGGAUCAGUAUUUCUUUGCUCUUUCUUUGGACGGUUGUCUUUAAUUUCAUGUUCGUCUCGCGGUGUGCAUCGCCGGCUCGUGGGAGACGGGAGCCUGCUCUCUAGGGAUACAGCUGUGUCCGCACCGCCAGCGUUGCUCUCAGCGCAGCAUUUUACGGGGGCACGUGCGCCCCUCUGAUGGCCUCUUACUCGAGCGUCUUAAAAACCUAACAGUAGUGCGAUUCACGAAGUCCCACAUCCCUGAAGCGCGUUUUUCCUUCUGUUGAUGGAACAAAGGCUUCCAUUGCUUUCAUGACUUAGUUUCCAAAUGUCUCUUUGUGAGGCCAGCGGAGAUGGAGUUACAAGUGUUGGCGUCUGGCUGGUGACCCAACACAUCCCGCUGGCCCGGAGUGAGAGGAGAUUAAAGCCGGCCCUUGGAUGCCAGUGCUGCGGGAAUUUGGAGAAACGCACCGACAGUAACGGCGGCAUUUAAUUAUGUGCAGCUUAUCGUGGUGUGAUGACUAAAGCCCUUGAGACGCUUGUGAAAACAGAUUCCGCGGCCCGGGUUUGUACCGUCCUGUCUUGAACCCGGCCAGGAAAAGACAUGUCUUCUUUUUCCCUUUCCUCAGCAUCUUGGCACCGUCAGUUCCCAUCCCCGCCAAGAUCUCGCAGCGCAGAGAGCGGCGAUUGAGAAGAGCUCUUUUAAAAGGCCGACUGCACAGUGGUUGGCUUGGGCCUGGAGAUGACUCUUCAGCCCCGCUCUUUCAGCGGCCUGCUUUCGGCGGGUUCCGCCAGCUGCCUCGCGAGGAUGACGGCUUGUUAUCCCUUCCCUGGCCCUUGGCGCCCCGCAAGCCAUGUUUCCUCGCUGACGGGGUGGCGCUAACUGAGUAUGACCUUUGCAGAAAUAGGUCGCAGAGGGUCAGCGUUUCCUAAUCGAAUGUGAUGUUUGAAUUCAAUGAAUUGGACUGACUUAGAUUAUUUUCCUUUUUAGAGCCGCACUUGCACCUGACGUAAGUUCCUGGACCAGGGGUCGAUUUGGCGCUGUAGCUGCCGGCCUACGCCACACAGCAGCAUGGGAUCCAAGCCACCUCUGUGACCCCCACCACAGCUUGUGGCCACACUGGAUCCUUAACCCACUGAGCAAGACCGAGGAUCGGACCUGCACCCUCACGACACGAUGUCAGGUUCUUAACCCACUGAGCGACGGUGGAAACGCCUAGAUUUUUAAACUGAGUACUGUUUCUCUGAGAUUUUGUGUCUUUGAAAGAAACUUACCUGUAACUUUAAAGAUUGCGCGAGGUUGGUGAGCAGCUCUGUGCUCACACAGGCGUGUCCAGGGUGCUUGGGAAACCGCACAGCUUUAGUGGGAGGUUAAGUUUCCCAAAGUCAAGGGCUGGACAAGGGGCCUCUCAGUGCACAUCUCGAAAGGCUAAAGAAACGGACAGAACGUUGUAAAUCAACUAAAAUAAAUUUUUAAAAAGAAAAGGAAAAAACAAGCAAAGCAAGCCUAGGUGAGAUAGGCUCGGCUUCAUCGCUGCGCGUGGGUACUCAGCCGAUGCUGAGCUUGGUGUCCGGCCCGGCCUGCAGCUUUUGCGCUCGGCCCCGGGGUGGGCGAGGAGUGCGGCUGGCCCUCCAGGGCCCCCGAGUGCCUCAGCGCCCGUUGUCUUGUGGGAGCCAAAGUCGGCCUGUCUGUGCCUUUGGCCCGUGGGCGCUGCUGGGUCGGGGGGAGCCUCCUGGACGGUGUUGGGUCCAGGGCCGUGAGCUCCUUGCGAGGGAAACGUAACGGACCCCGAGUGGCGACCCGGUCGUGGCAGACGGAUGAGCUGGUCUCACAUGACUCAGCGACCUUCAGGUCCUGGAGGGACCCGAAGGCCUGUUCUGCUACCGAAUGACUCAGCACGGAGCCCAGCCGCUGCCAGCGUGCGUGGCAGUAGUGAGAUUUCACAGGCCUUCUGCAUCUAAGCCUUUGACAGUGAUGCUUCCUGGCCUCCGUCAAGCCCCCGGGACGCCCACAGGGUGGCUUUGUGUCAUUGCAAAGGACACUUCGGAAUGUGAGGUGUUUCAAGACGUGUGUUUACUUUGCAAGGGCUCUGAGGCGCCCUUUUCUGUUUUAACAGGCGAGGGAUGCACGCAGGGCUGCCGUUUCUGUCUGCGGAACGGCAACUGUCCCCCCUGCUAAAGAGUCUGGGAAAUAAUGGCUCAGGGUUCCUGAGCGGCGAACAUGUGGCUUCGGAACACAGGAAAUGCUGUUUGGUCUCUCGGGUUGCUGUAUUGCGUGGUUCGACCCCUGGCCUGCGAAGAAAGAAGCCUGGAAUCUGAGCAGCCCUUCCCCUCACAGGAGGAGAAGGCCGUUGUCUCCCCACGGGGGGCGCUGAGGGGAGCGUGGAUUUCCAGCCACGUUCCUGCUUGGCUUCGGGCACCUGCUCAGAGCCGCUUUGUCCUGCACCCUUGGCGCCACAAUGAGACGGAAAGUGGGGUUGGCUGUCUUGCCUCUCCUGUGGUUCAUGCCUCAGGCAUCAGUGACAAAGUCAAGGUCAGUGCUGAGCCGGAACCGGCCUUUCCUUUUACCGUUACUGCUGACGUCCGUAUUGCAAACAGCGCUCUGCCCAGUGGCAGAAAUUCGGGAAAAGCCGUCCUCGGGGCGCACGCCGCGCUGUGGGCGCUCUUCUGCGGAGGCUCCUCCCUCUCCUUCCUCAACCGGCAGGACCGCUGCCCAGCUUUCCUCCCCGACACAAGGGAGCCACCUGCCCCCAUUUCAGGGGCCCCAGUGGUAUCUUUAACCCACGAAUUAGAAGCAACAAGCAACAGAAACAAUUCCUCUUUUCUGCCUAUUCAAAUUCCCAAUUCACGAAGGUUCUGGCCCAUUUCCUUCCCGCGAAUUCCCAACGCGCGAAGGUUCUGGACGGGCCAGUUUCCUUCCCGCGAAUUCCCAACGCGCGAAGGUUCUGGACGGGCCAGUUUCCUUCCCGCGAAUUCCCAACGCGCGAAGGUUCUGGACAGGCCAGUUUCCUUCCUGCGUCCUUCGGAAGGACUGCGCCUCUCCACCACGCCCACUGGACAGGAGUUUGUGCUGAAGAUCUGGUGGACGGGAACCGCGCCAGGGUGACAGAAACAGAGGACUCAGCAUCGUGGGGACCGGGGAAAUUCCAGUGGUUGGUGACGUCACAGAGAGGGCCUGUCACGGGCCUGUCUGCGCCUGCUCACCUGGACGCUGCCAAGGCCACUUGCGAGUCACACGUCCCACGGCCGGCACGCCGGUGCCUGGUGAUGUCGUCGCACCCAGUGGCCACGGCUGCACCACUGAUGGAAAUCUCCCUGCAGGGCUGCUGUCCUCGGUGUUACGGGAGCUGUCUUCCGUAAGCCUCAAGCUGAGCUGUGAGACAGAUGACUUUGUGUGUAUCGAUUCAUUCAACUCCAUCUGCGAGGUGGCGUAGCUUUGGCCCAAGGCCAUCGGCUGGUGCGGAAGUCGGAGGGAGUCCCUGGUCGCCCGCCCGGCUGCACGGAUCUUAAGCUUUCCAGGGACACUUGUCUCCGCGUAUUAAUCAAGAAAUACGGAAUGAAAUUUUGCAGCAACGCAGAUGGACUUGGAGGGCAUUUUGCUAAGUGAGACAAGCCAGAGAAAGCCAAGUACUGAGUAUCACCUACAUGUGGAGUCUAAAAAAUACAGCGCACUAGUGACCGGAACAGCAGAAGCAGAGUCACGGAGCAGAGAAUACACUAGUGGUUCCUGUGGGGAGGGGGGGCAAGGCCAGGAGAUUAAGAGGUAGGAACGAUUGUUGGUCAGCUACGGGAUUCACUGUUUGGCACCGAGACUAUGGCUGGUAUUUUGUACUAAGUAUACCUGGGGAUAAUCUUUUAAAAUUGUGAAGCACUGUAUUGAACACCAGAAAAUUACAUCAUAUUGUAAAUCAGCUCUACCUCAAUUUUUUUCUGCUUUUUAGGGCUGCACCCACAGCAUAUGGAAGUUCCCAGGCUAGGGGUCGAAUCCAAGCUGCAGCUGCCAGCCUGCGCCACAGCCACAGCCAUGUGGGAUCUGAGCCAUGUCUACGACCUACACCACAGCUCAUGGCCACGCUGGAUCCUUAACCCACUGAGCGAGGCCAGGGAUCGAACCUGUGUCCUCACAGAUACCGGUCAGAUGCGUUUCCUCUGCACCACAACGGGAACUCCUACCUCAAUUUUAAAGAAAGAAAAGGGAAGAAAAGGAAAAAAAAAACCUGUUUGGACUUUUCCUGUUUAUCUGGCAUGAAAAAUUUAUUCUUCGCAUGAACAACAUGGACAUUGCCAGGAUGUAUUUCCUAGAGAAUGAUUAUGCAAAAUAAGUAAUUUCAUUGUGGAGGAUUGAAGCCUCUGAUGUAAGCUGCUUUCUAGAGAUCUGGUUCCUGAGAAUUGGUGAGUUAAUGAGUCCGGCCGCUGUGUUUAGAUUUAGCAUCAAUUCGGAGAUCACAUAAGAAGUUGCAGAGUCAGUAACAUGAGAUAAAAGGAUCAAACC
rnacentral:lncRNA from 1 species